GAAAUAUUGUCUAAUGGGAAGAGUAAAUAAGCUGAAAUUUAACAGAGAGUACAUGGUCGCUGAAAAUGUACAGUUUAACUUAUUGAAGGUAGCCCUCAUUGAACUUUAGCUGAAAUUUGUCAAAACAAAGAUAAUAAAGUAGGUUAAAGCGUGUUUGAGCGUUAAUCAUAAUUUUAAGUGCUUGAAAUUAUUAUGUUAAUUUCUUGAAUUUAGGUGGUACCACGGUAAACCCGUCCUAUUU
rnacentral:ncRNA from 1 species